CCUACGGGAGGCUGCAGUGGGGAAUAUUGCACAAUGGGGGAAACCCUGAUGCAGCGACGCCGCGUGAAGGAAGAAGUAUUUCGGUAUGUAAACUUCUAUCAGCAGGGAAGAAAAUGACGGUACCUGACUAAGAAGCCCCGGCUAACUACGUGCCAGCAGCCGCGGUAAUACGUAGGGGGCAUGCGUUCACCGGAUUUACUGGGUGUAAAGGGAGCGUAGGAGGCGAUGAAAGUCAGACGUGAAAUCCCGGGGCUCAACGCCGGGACUGCUUUUGAAACUGUAUGGCUAGAUGGCAGGAGAGGCAAGUGGAAUUCCUAGUGGAGCGGUGAAAUGCGUAGAUAUUAGGAGGAACACCAGUGGCGAAGGCGGCUUGCGGGACUGUAAAGGACGCUGAGGCUCGAAAGCGUGGGGAGCAAACAGGAUUAGAUACCCCGGUAGUC
rnacentral:rRNA from 1 species